CGUCAAACAUCGAGCAUCGUGAUGCUAAGGCCGUGAAGCCGUUCCGGACCCUUCGGGGAAUGGAAAGUGGUGGAGCCGCCGGCCCAAGCGGUUAGUAGGUGAGUGAU
rnacentral:rRNA from 1 species